AGAUAUGCAUGUGUCUGACUGCUCACCACACACACACACACACACACACACAGACAGACACACACAACUCUGCAAUCACACACUUCUCCAGCAUGUAUGCAGGACUGAUCUCUCUGUGGGUGAUAGGGGCUUUGUUAGUGUCUCAGUGUUUGGGUGAUACAGAUGACAGUGAAUAUGAUUAUAAUUCCGUGACAGUGACCGCUGGAUAUAGCGAAUACACAGAUUACGCCUUUGUCUAUGAAUCUGACAGUUAUACAUCCAGUAUAGAUUAUGAUUUGUAUGUAACACCCAAACAAGGCAUUAAACAUGAACAAUCCAGUUCAGUCAGCGGUGGCAUGAACCACAUAAAUGAUGAGGCCUCAACAUUGUUUAGAUACUAUGCUGUAGGACUGGGACUUAUAGUGCAACGGUUCUGCCUGUAAACAUGACUGGGAUUUUUACACACACAGGCUGAACAAAGGGCUGAAAGCAUUUGGAUUUUAAGGCACUGCAGGAUGCCAUUCCAGAUGUCCAAGCGGAAUGACAUUUUCUUCAGAUGGUGCACUGUGGAUCUCCUUGUUCUUUUUAACUGUACUUUUUAACAUUUAUUCUGAGCUUUGUAAAAUCUUCAUUAAAUAUAAAGUGCAAACUCUAGAA